rnacentral:rRNA from 1 species
UACGUAGGGCGCAAGCGUUAUCCGGAAUUAUUGGGCGUAAAGAGCUCGUAGGCGGUUUGUCGCGUCUGCCGUGAAAGUCCGGGGCUCAACUCCGGAUCUGCGGUGGGUACGGGCAGACUAGAGUGAUGUAGGGGAGACUGGAAUUCCUGGUGUAGCGGUGAAAUGCGCAGAUAUCAGGAGGAACACCGGUGGCGAAGGCGGGUCUCUGGGCAGUAACUGACGCUGAGGAGCGAAAAGCGUGGGGGAGCGAACAGG